ensembl:lncRNA
CUCUGAAAGCCGGAGGCAUCAAUGCCUUUGCUAAUUGGACCUGUUGCCGUGGCUGUUUUUCGCUUUGUUUUCCUCCCAAGCAGCGGUCGGGGCGUGCUGGGGGUAUCAGAGCCAGGCGCUCCCACCUGUGCCAGGAGGGCAGGACCUGAAACCAGCUGGAGGAGGCGAAUCCCUCUGCCUAUCCCUUCCCCGUGCGUAGCUGUGGGAGAGGAGCAGGGACUCAUCCCUUGGCACAGAGGUAGGUAGCACCCGUCCCCUCCGUGCCACUCGUGGGGCCGUCACCGCAGAUGGACUGCAGCCAUUCAAGGAGGGCUUGAAGCACCGAGCAGCUGUGGCCGCUUCACUGCAUCUGUAUCAACGUGAGCACCCCCAGCACACACCUCCCCACGGAACAGUACCCUCGCAUCCCCAUCCCUCCUUCCUCCCCCACCCCCUCCCCAGCUGACAGCAGAGCGCCGGGUCCGGAGGAGCGAAUAAACAGAUUUGGCCACGCAAAGGAGAUGGAGGCAUUCACGGGAGAGCAUCUGACAGCUUGGGGCGAGCGGAGAGCUGGCGCUGGAGGAGCGAUGCAUCCACAGCAGCACGCUGGGGGCUUGUGGAUGCCUUUGAAGGUUCCCCAGGAGGCACAAAUCCCUCCAGAAAUGCACCCCACGCAUGUACAGGCUUUCAACGUGUUCUCUGGCUCCUUUCCCCAGGCAGGAAUCCCUGGGCGCACAGAGUGCUUCGCCCCGAAGGAAGCAGAGGGUUUUGCCUUUGCUUAACAGAGAGGAAAAGAAGCAGCAGAUCCUCAGCUUUGUGAGCACCAGGUGGUCCCUUUCCCAGCUGGGUGACCCCACCUGCAUGCCACGCUGUGCCACUCCGUGCCGUGCCUCGCUGCCUUGCUGUCCCACCACGUGCUCCCCAUGUUUGCUUUUUCCUCCAAACCUCAGCCUCCAAAAUCACAGAGCCACGCACGAAGGACUGAAUUUUUAACACGUUCUUUAAGGAUUAAAUUUCAAGGCCUCGUAUAUACCCGGAGAGGCUCGGGGAUGCAUACCUAGCAGCAGAGGAUAAGCAUCUAAGAACUGGUAUUUAAAAAUGAAUGAGUCGCGGUGUUCAGAUCAAUCCUGUGAUAUUUAGAAGCCCAAUUCCUGAAGUCUCAGCCUGGGAGAAGGACUUGGAUGGAGCUGGGAAAGACCUCCCAGGGUUGUCCAAGGCAAGAGCCAAGCUUUCAUAGAAUCACAGAAGCAUUAAGGUUGGAAAAGGUGAUGCAGUCCAACCACAGCCCCACUGUGCCCACUGACCACAUCGAGGAAACACAUCAGCCACCAUGAGUAGGGUCAGGGCACUGCUGACACAAACACCACCUGCAGCAGCACGGGGAAAGCAGAGGACUGCAUUUAUUUUUAGAUGCAAAGCAUUUGUGUUUCCCUCUUUUAUGGAGAUGGGCUGAAAAGAGUGAGAACAGAUGAUGGCGUUGAAUUCCCGAUCCAACACUUCAGAUGUGUGCCAUCAAAAUAGCAUUGCAAACAGACCCUACCCACAGCUCUGGGUCCCUCUCAAGAAGCCCUGAACAGAAGCUGCUGUGCUGCGGGGCUGGGAGCAGCGCCCUGCCUGCACGGAAAGCAUGGAAAUGCAUUUUGAUGUUCCCUUUGAAUCACUCCCCUCUCCUCCUUCUCAUCCUUAAGGUGCUCUUAAUAAAGCCAGAGGGAGAAAAGCUCUUUGGAUUGUAGAUGAGCAGGAUGUUUUCAUCCUUCUUGAAUUUACCCUGUAAUCUUGUUUAGAAGUGGAAUACCGAGCGCUAGAAGUAUCAG